GACUCUCGGCAAUGGAUAUCUCGGCUCUCGCAUCGAUGAAGAACGUAGCAAAAUGUGAUACUUGGUGUGAAUUGCAGAAUACUGUGAACCAUCGAGUCUUUGAACGCAAGUUGCGCCCCAAGCCUUCUAGCUGAGGGCACGUCUGCCUGGGUGUCA
rnacentral:rRNA from 1 species